ACAUAAGCAUAAAUCCCUAUAUAUAUGCAUAUGAAAUUUCAGAGUCCCCAAAGAUGAUUAGAGAGAGAGAGAUUAAUGACAGGUGUGUAUUGGUCAUCGAUUGGUUUAUAUUGAUUUUUCCUUCUUGUCCUUGGCAGCCUCGCCGCACGCUGAGUCCUCCAAGGAGAUGGAAGCUGCUGUUCAACGAGGAGGGUUGCCUAGACGCAGCUGGAAUGAUCAUGAGAGUACAACGUGGGGGUGUCCACCCAAAUAUCAAAGGGGAAGUCUGGGAGUUUUUGCUGGGUUGUUACGACCCUAAAAGCACUACUGAACAGAGGAACCAGUUGCGGCAACAGAGAAGGCAUCCGAUGCUAGGAAAGAGAGGAGAUGGUCUUCGUCAGUUGCAUUGAAGCAUGGGAAGGAUGCAGGUGAAGCGGUGGAGAAGGACACCGACGUUGCCAAGGUUGUUAUAGCAGCGACACUCGAGAACGCUCAAGGGAAGAGUAGACGCGCCUGGGUGGCUGGGUGACUCUGACCACUGGAAGCAGUUAAUCACAUGAUAGUAAAGGAAUAUGCGAAGCUGAUGAGGCUAGAGCUAAAGUUCUUUCUCUUGGAUUCCUCAGUUAGGUACACCAUUUCUUCAAUUGUCCACAUUUUAAACUGUAUAUUAUUGUCGUAAAUCAAGUGGAAUAUGUGUAUGCAAACUGUGAAACUAAAACUUGGAAACAAACAUCAUUGAUUACUAAUCGAUGAUGUAACUUUUGAAGGAAGUAACAAAUGGAAUGAUUUGUUGCCCAUGUACAUUUGGUAAUUUUCUUUGAUAGUUUUUGUUGUUUAUGUAUAGAAAAAAAAUCAUUGGUAGAGAGGAAUCUUUCUGAAAAUGUUUUCUCGGUAGUGAAAUGGGGAGAAAAUGUUUCUCAAAAAUGUUCAUUUCAAUUUUUUAUGGCUGAAAUAUGGGAAAGGAUGGUGAGUCCAUGAUGCUUGGGGUUCUUUGCAAUUCAUUUUCUUCCAUUCCUAUGACGUAGAUAUUUCUUCUGUGUCAACCUAAAGUAUUAUCCGCUUCUGAUAAAUGCAAAGGAAAAUCUGCAAGUUACCAUUUACCUUUACGCAUAUUUCUUCUGUUAGUGUGACUUAAAAUUCAAUAUGCUUUGCCUAUUGACUAUGUUAGAGCUGAUCUGUGCGAGCUGUUAGCCUUUUGAUGAACACAUGGUGUUGAUUAUUUAGGACUGGAAUGUUCAGCCUCCCUGUAUGCCGACUACAUUUCUAAGACAUGAACCUAUUUUUGUACUAUGGUCAUCAUUUCUAAGACUUGCUGAUGCAUGAUUACACUGCUAAUUGCUACAGUAGACACGCAGACGCAGCUUGGUGCAUUCUUCUCUUCUUUCCCUUUAUAUUUUCUUCAUCCUUGUGCUUGUAAAUUUGUAACUCAAGAGGUCACAAACUUUUGCAAUCUGAAGGUAUCACUUUCAGACUGGUACAUAUGCAUGUAGCUGUUCAUGAAGCAUCAUUUUACUAAAGUGUCCAAUGUCUGUUCUCUUAUAAUCCAGGAUAAAUGCGAAUGCAUACAAUAUAUGAAUUUAUUUCCAGUGUUUCAAAUAAUUAAGUUUCAUGCGAGCAACAACUUCAAGUAAUAACUCAUCGCUUUCGUAUGUGUUCAGAUGAGUAGGAAUGUCUACGAUUACUAGUGGUGCAUAGUAUUGUAGACAUUCCUACUCAUUUGAACACAUACGAAAGCGAUGAGUUAUUACUUGAAGUUGUUGCUCACAUGAAACUUAAUUAUUUGAAACACUGGAAAUAAAUUCAUAUAUUGUAUGCAUUUGCAUUUAUCCUGGACCCUGGGGCUAAACUUGAUAUGUUUGCUAAUGCACUCGAUGUACUAGUUGGGUCCCUACAUUUAGAUUAUUCUGCUCAUUUCAUGGUUGUUCGUGAUAAGCUUUCUGAAGUUACAUAAGUAUGAUCAAAAGUAUGCCGGAGUUCAGAUGCAAUGACCUCCACCAGCACCAACUGCAUGAAAAAAAGGAGCACCGAGCAAGAUAUUUGGUUAUUCCUCCUCUACCUCGAGCUCUUCCACAUGAGCAUCAGGUGGCAGGGAGUUAGCGAAGUAUCUCAACAACGACAAAGUCAGCUUCGAUGAACAUGACGAGGAGGACUUCGACAUACCGUAGUGGUGUUCUAACCACAAGCUUGCAUAUUCGGUGCUUUCCAUAUUAGCAAGGGAUGUGUUAUCAGUACACAUCUCAUCGAAAUCAUCGGAGUCUACUUUCAGCCUAGCUGGAAGAAUACUUGAGGAGAGAAGAACAAGCCUGACCCAGAUAUGAUGAAAACAUUAAUGACCUUGAAAGAUGGGGAACUAGCAGAAGGAGAGCCCAACACACCACAGACAACAAAGAACUGAAGGCACGUUUCGAAGAUCUUGCCAUUAAAGAAGAAGAAUAGUUAUAGUUGUAGUCUUUGUAAAAAAAAUUGAAGGUCACCGGGGAGGGCAAAGGCCCCCACCUAAAUAAUUUUCAUUUUCUAUAUUUUUGACACGGGAACGAGUGUUACAGGAUGAAAGAGUCUUUGUAAUGUUAAUUUUAAUUUUGUAAUUUUAUUUUCCUUUUGUGAUCUAGAGUGUGACGUUGUACUUUGUUUCUUUCCCAGAGAUGGAAGGUUUAACGAGGCAACCAGCAAUAAAGCUCUAUUGAUUUUUUAAUUUUC